rnacentral:rRNA from 1 species
UAGGGAAUCUUCCGCAAUGGACGCAAGUCUGACGGAGCAACGCCGCGUGAGUGAAGAAGGAUUUCGGUUCGUAAAACUCUGUUGUUAGAGAAGAACAGCGCAUAGAGUAACUGUUAUGCGUGUGACGGUAUCUAACCAGAAAGCCACGGCUAACUGCGUGCCAGCAGCCGCGGUAAUACGUAGGUGGCAAGCGUUGUCCGGAUUUAUUGGGCGUAAAGCGAGCGCAGGCGGUCAAUUAAGUCUGAUGUGAAAGCCCCCGGCUCAACCGGGGAGGGUCAUUGGAAACUGGUUGACUUGAGUGCAGAAGAGGAGGGUGGAAUUCCAUGUGUAGCGGUGAAAUGCGUAGAUAUAUGGAGGCACACCAGUGGCGAAGGCGAAUCUCUGGUCUGUAACUGACGCUGAGGCUCGAAAGCGUGGGUAGCAAACAGG